rnacentral:lncRNA from 1 species
GAAACUAUUAGGUAGCUUUUCUUGCACAAAAAAAAAAUCUAAAUACGAAAAUUAAAUAUUGGCCAAAUAAUUUGAUCAAUCUCUAAUUGACAUCUUCCAUAUAUAUAAGAUCCGGUAUUAGGUGGACAUCUUCUAUAUAUAAAAGAUCAAGUGGGUAUCUUCUGUAUAUAAAAGAUCCUACAUCAAAGAUGGAAGACAUAUAGAUCAGAGAUAGCAUCCAAAGCAGUUGCAACCCCUGGGUGCAAAGGAGCAAAAGCCAAAGGGUCUAUUUGGAAUGUGGCAGUUGAUGGCAUAGCAGCAGGGAGAAGGGAGACAAAUUCCUUUGGGGCCUCUGCAGUAGGUGUAGAGAGCACAUAUCUGGAAGCUCCCAAGCCGCCUCCUGAUCUCAUUCAGCACCGAAGUCCUAAGCACAGCCACAGGCUUCAUCACUGCUGACUCAUUCGACAGAGCCUGCUGAAAUGGCACAAAUCCAUAGGAAAUCAAGUGAAGUAGAGCUCACAUAAAUGCCAAGUAAGCAAAGAUGGAAAAGUUACAUGACCUGAGCUUCGCCCAUUAGAGAGAAAAGUUAUGAACAUGAGGAAAAGGAUGUAGUGAGAGAGAACUCCCGGUUUGGUAGUCAUCUCUCCCUCUCUCUAAAGGGAGCUUGAGAGGAAGAGCAUACUUUUCUUUUGUGGUUAAAAAGAGGGGAGAAGCUAGGAGCCUUAGAGGGGAUUUUAGUGCACUACUAGCUAGUGUGGUGUGCAAGAGGCUUCAAUUUUUUUGUUGGUGAAGUGAGAGGAGAUGGAGGUGGGAAUAUGGAAAAGGUUGAGGGCAAGUGAGUUGGAGCCUUGGAGGGAUAGGGAAACUGUU